rnacentral:rRNA from 1 species
ACCUACCUUCAAUUGGGGGAUAACUCUGGGAAACUGGAAUUAAUACCGCAUAAAAUAGUAAUGCUUCAUGGCAUAGCUAUUAAAGAUUUAUCGAUUGAAGAUGGGCAUGCGUGACAUUAGUUAGUUGGUGAGGUAACGGCUCACCAAGACUUCGAUGUCUAGGGGUUCUGAGAGGAUGAUCCCCCACACUGGUACUGAGAUACGGACCAGACUCCUACGGGAGGCAGCAGUAGGGAAUAUUGGUCAAUGGACGCAAGUCUGAACCAGCCAUGCCGCGUGCAGGACGAAGGCCCUCUGGGUUGUAAACUGCUUUUGUAUAGGAAGAAACGCUCCGACGUGUCGGAGUUUGACGGUACUAUAAGAAUAAGG